GACGAACGCUGGCGGCGUGCCUAAUACAUGCAAGUCGAGCGAGCGGAACUAACAGAUUUACUUCGGUAAUGACGUUAGGAAAGCGAGCGGCGGAUGGGUGAGUAACACGUGGGGAACCUGCCCCAUAGUCUGGGAUACCACUUGGAAACAGGUGCUAAUACCGGAUAAGAAAGCAGAUCGCAUGAUCAGCUUUUAAAAGGCGGCGUAAGCUGUCGCUAUGGGAUGGCCCCGCGGUGCAUUAGCUAGUUGGUAAGGUAAAGGCUUACCAAGGCGAUGAUGCAUAGCCGAGUUAAGAGACUGAUCGGCCACAUUGGGACUGAGACACGGCCCAAACUCCUACGGGAGGCAGCAGUAGGGAAUCUUCCACAAUGGACGCAAGUCUGAUGGAGCAACGCCGCGUGAGUGAAGAAGGUUUUCGGAUCGUAAAGCUCUGUUGUUGGUGAAGAAGGAUAGAGGUAGUAACUGGCCUUUAUUUGACGGUAAUCAACCAGAAAGUCACGGCUAACUACGUG
rnacentral:rRNA from 1 species